rnacentral:piRNA from 1 species
UAGAAUAAACCUGUAGUCUGUUGUUGGCAC